GUGGCCCUCAGAUAGAUUGACAGCUUGGGGAAGAACCUCCAGGGGGUCUCUCCCUUCAGCCAGCAUGCAAGCUUGGUGCCGUCCCAGAACCCAGAAGAAAACUCCUGCAUGGGAAGCACACAGAGGCAGAGGCACCUGGAGAAGCAGUACAGAGUCCAGUGUACCUCUCUGCAGUCCAGGUUCAGAUUCUGGUUCCCAACCUCCAACUUCAGCACCUCCACCUGGUAGUACCACUCCUCUAGUAUGGGCGUGUACCAGAUGGAUCCACGAUACAGAGUUGGUUCAACCCCUCCCAAGAUCUGAGGAGGAGCAAAAGUCAUCAAUCGGUCAACAGCGUCCACAGCAACACACUGAAAAGCCAACAUUACUGCGCAUGGGCCACAUUUUGGUUUUAUAUAUAAACACAGGCAUCCUGCCACAUUAUCCAUCUGUCUCAACCAGUGGGUGAUGUGAUGAAGAUGCAGUGAGCGAGGCAUUAGGGCCAUGUGAAUAACAGUGACAGACCUGCUCUCAGCAGGGCACUGUAUUAGCUUAAUUAGCUCCAGUGUAAGUAGACUGGGCCUCCAAUGGAGAAAGCACAUUGACAAAGAGGAUACCAUCCACGGUAUUAUUAUAAUAAUGUGCAAACGGCUGAGCUGCUCUGUAUAAUCCAUUAGUCUGGUAUUUUCUUAGUCUCAGACAAUGAGCUGAACCAUAGCCCACUAGUACCUGGGCCGAUUCUACAGAAAUGACUCAACACCAAUGUAUAAAACAGAAUUAAAGACAGAGGUCACAUAUAAAAAUGACUCAUUUUCGCCUUUGAGCCAACUUUACAGACAAAUCUUAUUCUGUGUUUAUUUUGAACAGACUCCACCUCGGGCUGCUCCGGCUGACUACUCACAAGACUGCCCCCCGCGGGGUCCGCCGUGCUGCUGGCCGACAGGCCAGCGCCACACAUCUGGAGGGAGAAGAUGUCCGGGAUUCCCAGCUGCCGCACCAUGGAGUUGAAGAAGGGCUCCACAGAAGAGUCGGGCUGAGCGGAAGGCAGAGACAGUGCCAAAAACAGUGAAAGGGUUCUCUCUGCAGCUUUUAGUAGCUUUCUCGUCCGUGUCAUGUCAUGUCAUGCAUGACAAACAGCCCUCAGGCAAAAUGGACCUGGACACUCAGACAGCAGCACAAAGUGGUCUGUGUGAGACUAUCUGGCCCUCAGUCGCUGGCAUUUGAUCUCAGAGGUUGCUGUAGUCUGCGCAGAAUGAAAGCAGGUACUGUUCUGCUUCACACUGAUGCAAUUUGUGUUCCAUCAGCACCAAAUUAUCACGCUAAAGAAAGCCGACACUGAGGGAAGCAUGUGGGAUUUGUAUCUUGUCAAAAUACAAAUGAUGUCCUCAAACUAACUUAAAAUUACUAUGAAUUAAUUAGAAUAUGAGCCAACACAAAUUUCAGCAACAUGUUCGAGUCUCUUGUGUCGGUUUGCAUGACAGAGCUACAGGUUUUCUCUGCAUUUAGUCAGUUUCUAUAGAUAAAAAUACACAAACCCUGAAAUAUUACAGAGAUGAUGGCUUUUGUGAAUAUCUAUGAAAGUCACAAAACACCUAGUUUCAUUUACGGAUUUCUGAGUUGCUGGAACAAUCUGAUGUACCAAAAAGUUUAGUAAAUAUAUAAAAUACUAUUAUCUCUCUCACCCGUGCCAACAUAGGAUAGGCGAGUCCCAGGAUCCCCUGCCAGUUGACCCCAGGAAGGAAGAACCCCUCAGAUGACAGGAUGGCGGCUAUGUUGAUGAUGAUGGUCCCAUUGGGGCCUUGGGGGAUGGAGACGCGAUCUUCGCCCAGCUCACCUUCCCAGUUACCCUGCGUGUACUUGACAGCCACAGUGCGGCUGGAUGAACUGUAGGUACUAGAACUGAACAGAGUGGAAGAAGCCCAAGAAAUAUGAAGAUGAAUAAAAAGGUUCAAUCUGAAAUUAAGAACAUAAUUAAGGGGCGCUCUCUACAAUUAUUUCUGCAUCAAAGCUUCCGAUUCUGUUAUAAGAGAAUGAGAAGACUGUAUCUGCUUAGACAAAGCGCUCCAGCCACUCACAGUGCAGUGUUGAAGUAGUGAGUGAUGAACGGGUGUGGAGCUGCAGCCACUGCAAAGUUACUGCUGCCCGUAUCCACCAGGAUGUUCAGCUGGAAACACAACA